rnacentral:rRNA from 1 species
UACGAAGGGGGCAAGCGUUGUUCGGAUUUACUGGGCGUAAAGGGCGCGUAGGCGGCCACCGCAAGUCGACUGUGAAAUCUCCGGGCUUAACCCGGAAAGGUCAGCCGAUACUGCGGGGCUAGAGUGCAGAAGGGGCAACUGGAAUUCUCGGUGUAGCGGUGAAAUGCGUAGAUAUCGGGAGGAACACCUGCGGCGAAGGCGGGUUGCUGGGCUGACACUGACGCUGAUGCGCGAAAGCUAGGGGAGCGAACGGG